rnacentral:rRNA from 1 species
GACGAACGCUGGCGGCGUGCUUAACACAUGCAAGUCGAACGGAAAGGCCCUGCUUUUGUGGGGUGCUCGAGUGGCGAACGGGUGAGUAACACGUGAGUAACCUGCACUUGACUUUGGGAUAACUUCAGGAAACUGGGGCUAAUACCGGAUAGGAGCUACUGCUGCAUGGUGGGGGUUGGUAAGUUUCGGCGGUUGGGGAUGGAAUAGCCGCGUAUCAGCUUGAUGGGGGGGUAGUGUCUUACCAAGGCAUUGACAGGUAGCCGGGCUGAGAGGGUGACCGGCCACGUUGGGCUGGAGAUACGGCACAGACUACUACGGGAGGCGGCGGAGGAGAAUAGUGUACUGGGGGCGGAAGGCUGGUGUAGCAACGCCGCGUGCGGGAUGACGGGCAUCGGGUUGUAAUGCGCUUUCGCCUGUGACGAAGCGAGAGUGACGGUAAUGGGUAAAGAAGCACCGGCUAACUACGUG